AUUGAACGCUGGCGGCAGGCUUAACACAUGCAAGUCGAGCGAGCGGCGGACGGGUGAGUAAUGUCUGGGAAACUGCCCGCUGGAGGGGGAUAACUACUGGAAACGGUAGCUAAUACCGAAUAAUAGCAGAUGUGCCCAGAUGGGAUUAGCUAGUAGGUGGGGUAAUGGCUCACCUAGGCGACGAUCCCUAGCUGGUCUGAGAGGAUGACGAGGCACUCUGGAACUGUGUCACGGUCCAGACUCCGCCGGACGGCAGCAGUGUGGAAUAUGGCACAAUGGUCGCAAGCCUUAUGCAGCCAUGGCGCUUGUGUGAAGAAGGCCUUGGGGUUGUAAAGCACUUUCAGCGUGUAGGCGUUACUCGCAUAAGAAGCACCGGCUAACUCCGUGCCAGCAGCCGCGGUAAUAC
rnacentral:rRNA from 1 species